rnacentral:rRNA from 1 species
GGGUAGGCGUAGGCGGCUGAUUAAGUCAGCGGUGAAAGGUAGCAGCUUAACUGUUUUACAUGCCGUUGAUACUGGUUAGCUUGAGUUGACAGAAGGCAGAUAGAAUUCCUGAUGUAGCGGUGAAAUGCUUAGAUAUCAGGAGGAAUACCGAUUGCGAAGGCAGUCUGCUGCAGUCACACUGACGCUGAGGCUCGAAGGUGCGGGGAUCAAACAGGAUUAGAUACCCCGGU